UACGUAGGGGGCAAGCGUUGUCCGGAUUUAUUGGGCGUAAAGAGCGUGUAGGCGGCCAGGUAGGUCCGUUGUGAAAACUGGAGGCUUAACCUCCAGCUGUCGAUGGAAACCAUCUGGCUAGAGUCCGGAAGAGGAGAGUGGAAUUCCUGGUGUAGCGGUGAAAUGCGCAGAUAUCAGGAAGAACACCCGUGGCGAAGGCGGCUCUCUGGGACGGUACUGACGCUAAGGCGCGAAAGCGUGGGGAGCGAACAGG
rnacentral:rRNA from 1 species